GAGAUUGAAGGCCUUUUUGGUUCGUUGUGAUAGAUAGAUAGAUAGCCUUGAAACCCGAUGCAGUCUAGUUACUAUGUAAACAGAUAGGUAGGUGGUUACUGAUUGUUUAAGCUUGACUCAAUAACCAGACGUCUCAGUAAUUCCCAGGGAAACAAAGAGUACUGCGAGGUCAGCAAAGACGACGGAAGACACCAUAACAACCGGAAGAACGUGUGCAAGGCCUAUCACGUACCCGGAGACCGGAGGACUUAAGAGAGACGAACUCUAGGAAGGAGUGUGGCAGUUUUUCGGAGCACGGACUCCCUGCCACCCAGCACUGACAUUUGCCUUUGUCUUUUAUAAUUAAUAAAUUCUCUAAAAUUGAACCGGAA